rnacentral:rRNA from 1 species
UACAGAGGUCCCAAGCGUUGUUCGGAUUCACUGGGCGUAAAGGGUGCGUAGGUGGUUAGGUAAGUCCGAUGUGAAAUCUCCAGGUUCAACCUGGAAAUGGCAUUGGAUACUAUCUAGCUUGAGGAGUGGAGGGGGGACUGGAAUUCUCGGUGUAGCAGUGAAAUGCGUAGAUAUCGAGAGGAACACCAGUGGCGAAGGCGAGUCCCUGGACACUUCCUGACACUGAGGCACGAAAGCUAGGGGAGCAAACAGG